rnacentral:rRNA from 1 species
UACAGAGGUCUCAACCGUUGUUCGGAUUCAUUGGGCGUAAAGGGUGCGUAGGCGGUCGUGUAAGUCAGGUGUGAAAUCCCUGGGCUCAACCCCGGAACUGCACUUGAUACUGCGUGGCUAGGGUACUGGAGAGGAGACUGGAAUUUACGGUGUAGCAGUGAAAUGCGUAGAGAUCGUAAGGAAGACCAGUGGCGAAGGCGAGUUUCUGGACAGUUACUGACGCUGAGGCACGAAGGCCAGGGGAGCAAACGGG